UUUCCCUUUUUUACCCAUGUAGUGAUUUGUGACUCCAGAUUUAGCUCAAGGAGUGGCACGUGAAAAAAUUCCAAGCCUGGAGAUAAGAGGAGCAUCUGUAUUAAAAACCGACCGGACUCCACAAGCUAGGAAGUGAGUGUGAAACGCCCAUGACAGGGAAAAAGUUUCUGAAGGUCAUCGUGGAGCCCCUUCUGGCAAUCCCUGGGCUGAGGAGUCUCAACUCUCGUUCAGAAUGUGACGCGGAGAGUGGACGUGCCCAUGACUGAUCUGGAGACCUUUGACAUGAUGUCCAAGGAAAGAAAUGACAAACAGGAUGCAAGACUGAAUGACAGAAUGAUUAAGCUUAGAAUUGGUUAGUCAAAAUUUUGGAUGUCCCCCCCCUCACUCUUGAUAGCUUACAAAUGGAACCUGUAGGGUUCUGUUUGGUUUAAUUGCUGUACUGUCAAAGUUACUGACUUUUCAGUUACUUUUUUGCUUGAUUUACAAGAAAAAAAGUCCUCAAUUCAGUUUUGUCUACUCUUAAUUCCACUCUUCUGAGACAUUGUUCAUAAUUCCUUGUAUACAGAUUGCAAAGCAGUCUUGUGUUAGGAGGCCGCUGAUAUGAAGACCUGCAUGUUUCCAAGACCAUGGACAGGUAUGAUUAGUUUGACAUCUGUACUGUAGAUUAAAAAAAGACAACAGUGAAGGCUUACGAUGUGGUGGGUGAGCUCAAUGUUGACAUUU